GACGAACGCUGGCGGCGUGCCUAAUACAUGCAAGUAGAACGCUGAAGGAGGAGCUUGCUUCUCUGGAUGAGUUGCGAACGGGUGAGUAACGCGUAGGUAACCUGCCUGGUAGCGGGGGAUAACUAUUGGAAACGAUAGCUAAUACCGCAUAAGAGUAGAUGUCGCAUGACAUUUGCUUAAAAGGUGCAAUUGCAUCACUACCAGAUGGACCUGCGUUGUAUUAGCUAGUUGGUGAGGUAACGGCUCACCAAGGCAACGAUACAUAGCCGACCUGAGAGGGUGAUCGGCCACACUGGGACUGAGACACGGCCCAGACUCCUGCGGGAGGCAGCAGUAGGGAAUCUUCGGCAAUGGACGGAAGUCUGACCGAGCAACGCCGCGUGAGUGAAGAAGGUUUUCGGAUCGUAAAGCUCUGUUGUAAGAGAAGAACGAGUGUGAGAGUGGAAAGUGCACACUGUGACGGUAUCUUACCAGAAAGAGACGGCUAACUACGU
rnacentral:rRNA from 1 species